AAAUAGAUAUCAUUAGUCGCGCUAAUUAAAAAAUGCCAUAAUAAGUAAAGCAAUAACGAAGUUUAUGGAGAAUACGGCGCACCGCAAAAUGUAAGUAAUAGUGGCGUUUAUUUAAAAAAGCCACAAAUUUUUUUACUUGAAACGGCGCUGCACACACGAAUUAUUUUCUCUCAUUCUUUUCUUUGAACCCUGGCCCUUUUCUUUCCUAGACUUCUCUUUACUUGAAGCCCAAAAAUCCCCAUCCCUUUUCGUUCUCAGUCUUAUUGUCUCAGGAAUAAGGGGAAGAAACACUAUUUUGACCUAACAAGGUAUGUUUAGAUUUUGACCUGUUUCUUGGUCUCUUUUUGUUUACUGAAGGAGAGCUAGAAAAGGAAGCAGUGAUCUUUUUGUUGUUUCCUUUAUCUUGGGUUGAAGAGAAGAUGCAGCCAAAUCAGUUGAAGAAGGUUUUAAAAUCAACUUGAAGCUGGAAUUAACUUUAAAAUAAGUGGUGGCCAUUAAUCCGCUGGGUUGCUUCAAUCAUGCUAGUGCUUAAUGUUGAAAAUGUUUCUUGAAGAAUGAAGAUUAUUCUAUUUUUAUUGUUUUUGGUUCCUUUAUGUAUGUUCACACUUUUUCAUAGCAUGAUAAAGAUGGCUACUAAUAUUUUUGGAUUUCUUUCUAUAUUGCUUUCUUUAUCAAAAGUGGUAUUAGUUUCCUCUUUAGUUAUAUGGAGAGCAUUCCAAUAAAUGAAUCGAUUUCAAUAGAUUCUGUGUUUGAUUUUUGACUAAUAGAAAUUGCCAAGCUAAGUGCAACAUCUAGAACCUAAUUCUAUUUCCUCAAAGUAAUGACUUUUGGAUGUAUAUAUUUAAAUUUUUUAGUUUUGCAUCUUUAAAGGCUAUUAAAGCUGUUUUUGGCUUUAUUCAAGCACCUUCAGGUUUAUCUUAUCCAGUUAAUCCAAGUAAAGACUUCCAGGCUUGAUGGUUCAAGCAAUCGUAUUAAGGAACUUCCAUCCUCACUUGGAAACUGCUCAGAUUUAUCAGAUUUAAAGGUAUCGAAUAAUUUGAUAACAAGCUUGCCUGAAGAUCUUACAAACUGUUUGAAAUUGACAAAACUAGAUGAGGAGGGGAACAAGUUAACAGCUUAAUCUGAGAAUUUGUUUGCAUCAUGUACAAUGCUUACGGAAUUCAAUGCACCAAAGAACUUGCUGAGUGGUAUACCAGAGAACAUUGGAUGCCUUACACGUCUCAUCCGUCUUGAUAUUCACCAGAACAGCGACUGAAAUACAGAGUUAUGCUAGAAAUCAUCCUUUUGUACUGCAUGAUAAGUCAUUCUGGUACUGUAUGAUGCAAGAAUUUCAACAAUCCCACCAUCAGUAUCGGGUUGCUCUUCUCAAAUUUUCAGGAAUAAUGCACUGUCAAUUUUACCGAGGAAUUAGGUGCCCUUUCUCGUUUAGGGACAUCGGAUCUUCACUCAAACCAGAAUCGGUAUGUCAUUCAUUUGCCUUAUGAUGGGCCUAGAAGUUAUUCAAGCACUUAACUACAAUCCUGGUGAUUAUCAGACAGCUGGAGGUUAUCAAAGCAGCAGUUACACUCAUCAGACUACCACAUGGAAUAGGAGCAAUUCUGUAAGUUUUACUACUCAGCUGUAUUCAAACUACAGUCAAGAUUCAAGUGGGGCUUAUGCCGCUGGAACAGAAAUGGAUUUGUAUAGGAACUGUUAUCAAAGUAAUGCUAGGAUUUGCUUAAGCGGGUAAAGGGAUAGAAAUGGAUUUAUAUAUAAACUGUUGUCAAAGUAAUGCUUCUUGUGCAUGCUGUGAUAAUAGCCUUGAUUCUAUUGCAUGCUUCCCUUUGAUA